rnacentral:rRNA from 1 species
UACGUAGGGUGCAAGCGUUAAUCGGAAUUACUGGGCGUAAAGCGCGCGCAGGCGGCUUGACGCGCCCGACGUGAAAGCCCCCGGCUUAACCGGGGAGGGUCGUCGGGUACGGUCAGGCUUGAGGGCGGGAGAGGGUGGUGGAAUUCCCGGUGUAGUGGUGAAAUGCGUAGAGAUCGGGAGGAACACCUGUGGCGAAGGCGGCCACCUGGGCCGACCCUGACGCUGAGGCGCGAAGGCGUGGGGAGCAAACGGG